rnacentral:lncRNA from 1 species
AUCGAUGUUUUAUCUUCGUACAAGUUUGUGGUAAGUUCGUGUAAUUAAAUUGUGUAUUUAUAUGCUUUAAUAGAAAUAUAUGUAUGCGAAUGGUUUAAUUAUUAUGUAUAAUUAUCGAGCGCAUAACCGAUGACAUACAAAGAAUAUUGAGCCCCGUUUGAACCUUAGAAAUUCGUAGGAUACAAAUGACAUGUCAUUAGGGUUACCGAUUUGGUUGUGGUACUGCAUGUGGUGUGGACACACCAUAGCUCGUAUGAGCUUACCGAUAUUCAGCUCGGAGGAGCUUACCGUUUAUCGCUCGUAUGAGCAUACAUGUAUAAGAAUUGACAGAUUUACAGUUUAGUACAUCUCGCGUGUACUACCCACGUUUCUAACGAUAUUCUAAGUGAUUCAACGGGCAUAGUGUUAUUACGAGAUUACACAAGUUCAAUACGAACUAGUACAAGUAUUUACAUGAAAAUGAUUUAUAUAUGAUAUACAGAUACAUGGUAUAGAUGGUACAUGUACAUGAAAUUUAAUAAUUGUUGAAUUCAUACAUGAUUCUCGGUUUUAUAUGAAUACAUGGCUAACUUGGUUAAUGGUUAUGUGAUAGGCUUUGGCCAAAUUGAAUUAUGUUAUGCUUUGAGUUACUUACCUAAAUUUAUGGUUAAAUGGUAAGCUUAAUUCUGUAUUAUACGAACUUACUAAGCUUAAUUGCUUACUCUGUUUAUUUUCCCGUAUUUAAUAGUGAUUCGGAAGCUCGUUCGGAUUGGAAGUUGUCGGAGACCGCAUAACACUAUCAAACGUUAUUUUGGUACUUUUGACUUUAUAUUUUGGGUUAAAUGGCAUGUAUAGGUCAUUUUGGCUAAUGGUAGCCCAUAUGUUUUGUUGUGUUUCAGCCAUUUAAUUUGGCUUGAAUUUGGUAUAAUUUGGUUAUGUAAAUAUGUAAAUAGCCUUAUAGUAUGUGAUGUAUGGUUGCCAUGUGAAUGCCUUGGUUGGGAAUUG